ensembl:snoRNA SNORD16 Small nucleolar RNA SNORD16
UGCACUGAUGGUGUAAUUUGCGUCUGACACUGUGUCCAGUGACAGAAUGCCUGCUGUCAAAUACUGGCUCAGUUGACUGAUGAAUAUUGUUUCUGAGCA